UGGCCUUAGUACGGCGAGUGAAGCGGCAAAAGCUCAAAUUUGAAAUCUAGUACCUUCGGUGCUCGAGUUGUAAUUUGUAGAGGGAUACUUUGGGGCCGUUCCUUGUCUAUGUUCCUUGGAACAGGACGUCAUAGAGGGUGAGAAUCCCGUGUGGCGAGGAGUGCGGUUCUAUGUAAAGUGCCUUCGAAGAGUCGAGUUGUUUGGGAAUGCAGCUCUAAGUGGGUGGUAAAUUCCAUCUAAAGCUAAAUAUUGGCGAGAGACCGAUAGCGAACAAGUACAGUGAUGGAAAGAUGAAAAGAACUUUGAAAAGAGAGUGAAAAAGUACGUGAAAUUGUUGAAAGGGAAGGGCAUUUGAUCAGACAUGGUGUUUUGCGCCCUCUGCUCCUUGUGGGUGGGGGACUCUCGCAGCUCACUGGGCCAACAUCAGUUUUGGUGGUCGGACAAAUCCGUAGGAAUGUAGCUUACCUCGGUAAGUGUUAUAGCCUGCGGGAAUACGGCCAGCCGGGACUGAGGACUGCGACUUUUGUCAAGGAUGUUGGCAUAAUGGUUAUAUGCCGCCCGUCUUGAAACACGGACC
rnacentral:rRNA from 1 species